CAGAGUUGCAAAACUCCCUAAACCAUCGUGAACGUUACCUAGACGUCGUUGCUUCGGCGGCGCCCGGGUUACCCCCGCCCCUGGCCCCGCGGGCGCCGCCGAGUCACCAGACUCUUGCAGUAUUAUGGCCUCUCUGAGUCUGAUCUGUACUGAAUAAGUCA
rnacentral:misc_RNA from 1 species